UACGGGGGGAGCAAGCGUUGUUCGGAUUUACUGGGCGUAAAGGGCGCGUAGGCGGCCAGCACAAGUCAGUUGUGAAAUCUCCGGGCUUAACUCGGAAAGGUCAACUGAUACUGUGCGGCUAGAGUGCAGAAGGGGCAACUGGAAUUCUCGGUGUAGCGGUGAAAUGCGUAGAUAUCGAGAGGAACACCUGCGGCGAAGGCGGGUUGCUGGACCGAGAUUGACACUGAUGAGCGAAAGCUAGGGGAGCAAACGGG
rnacentral:rRNA from 1 species